rnacentral:rRNA from 1 species
GAUGAACGCUGGCGGCGUGCCUAAUACAUGCAAGUCGAGCGAACAGACGAGGAGCUUGCUCCUCUGACGUUAGCGGCGGACGGGUGAGUAACACGUGGAUAACCUACCUAUAAGACUGGGAUAACUUCGGGAAACCGGAUCUAAUACCGGAUAAUAUAUUGAACGGCAUGGUUCAAUAGUGAAAGACGGUUUUGCUGUCACUUAUAGAUGGAUCCGGGUCGCAUUAGCUAGUUGGUAAGGUAACGGCUUACCAAGGCGACGAUGCGUAGCCGACCUGAGAGGGUGAUCGGCCACACUGGAACUGAGACACGGUCCAGACUCCUACGGGAGGCAGCAGUAGGGAAUCUUCCGCAAUGGGCGAAAGCUUGACGGAGCAACGCCGCGUGAGUGAUGAAGGUCUUCGGAUCGUAAAACUCUGUUAUUAGGGAAGAACAAAUGUGUAAGUAACUAUGCACGUCUUGACGGUACCUAAUCAGAAAGCCACGGCUAACUACGUG